GUGGGGAAUCUUGCGCAAUGGGCGAAAGCCUGACGCAGCCAUGCCGCGUGAAUGAUGAAGGUCUUAGGAUUGUAAAAUUCUUUCACCGGGGACGAUAAUGACGGUACCCGGAGAAGAAGCCCCGGCUAACUUCGUGCCAGCAGCCGCGGUAAUACGAAGGGGGCUAGCGUUGCUCGGAAUUACUGGGCGUAAAGGGCGCGUAGGCGGACAGUUUAGUCAGAGGUGAAAGCCCAGGGCUCAACCUUGGAAUUGCCUUUGAUACUGGCUGUCUUGAGUACGGGAGAGGUGAGCGGAACUCCGAGUGUAGAGGUGAAAUUCGUAGAUAUUCGGAAGAACACCAGUGGCGAAGGCGACUCACUGGCCCGUUACUGACGCUGAGGCGCGAAAGCGUGGGGAGCAAACAGGAUUAGAAACCCCUGUAGUCC
rnacentral:rRNA from 1 species